rnacentral:rRNA from 1 species
GACGAACGCUGGCGGCGUGCUUAACACAUGCAAGUCGAGCGGUAAGGCCCUUUCGGGGGUACACGAGCGGCGAACGGGUGAGUAACACGUGGGUGACCUGCCCUCAGCUCUGGGAUAAGCCUGGGAAACUGGGUCUAAUACUGGAUAUGACUCCACGGUGCAUGUCGGUGGGGUGGAAAGCCUUGUGCGGCUGAGGAUGGGCCCGCGGCCUAUCAGCUUGUUGGUGGGGNGAUGGCCUACCAAGGCGACGACGGGUAGCCGGCCUGAGAGGGCGACCGGCCACACUGGGACUGAGACACGGCCCAGACUCCUACGGGAGGCAGCA